CGUUAUUAGCGGGCGCGAUUCGCCCUUAGAGUUUGAUCAUGGCUCAGGACGAACGCUGGCGGCGUGCCUAACACAUGCAAGUCGAACGAGGCCACUCCUUCGGGAGUGAGUCGAGUGGCGGACGGGUGAGUAACACGUGAGCAAUCUACCUUUGUGCGGGGGAUAACCCAGGGAAACUUGGGCUAAUACCGCAUGGACAAGAGAUCCGAGUGGGUUUUUUGGGAAACGUGGCCUCUUAACAAUGCUACGGUGCAAGGAGGAGCUCGCGGGCUAUCAGCUAGUUGGUGAGGUAACGGCUCACCAAGGCAGCGACGGCUACGGGGUCUGAGAGGACGACCCCGCACAUUGGAACUGAGACACGGUCCAGACUCCUACGGGAGGCAGCAGUGGGGAAUUUUGGGCAAUGGCCGAAAGGCUGACCCAGCGACGCCGCGUGCGGGAUGAAGGCUUUCGGGUCGUAAAACUCUGUUGUUAGGGAAGAACAAGUACGAGAGUAACUGCUCGUACCUUGACGGUACCUAACCAGAAAGCCACGGCUAACUACGUGCUAGCAGCCGCGGUAAUAC
rnacentral:rRNA from 1 species